UAGGGAAUCUUCCACAAUGGGCGCAAGCCUGAUGGAGCAACACCGCGUGAGUGAAGAAGGGUUUCGGCUCGUAAAGCUCUGUUGUUAAAGAAGAACACGUAUGAGAGUAACUGUUCAUACGUUGACGGUAUUUAACCAGAAAGUCGCGGCUAACUACGCGCCAG
rnacentral:rRNA from 1 species